UGAGUAUAGCUCAGUUGUAGAGUGCUUGCCUAGCACACAUGAGGCCUUGGGUUCAAUCCCCAGCACUGCAA
rnacentral:tRNA from 1 species